AAGGAGGUGACAGAGUGGUUAUGUAAUUGGCUUGAAACCAGUUGAUGGGGGUUCAAUUCCUCCCUUCCUCG